UCCAGGAAAAGCCACUAAGCGAAAGGCUUUACUAAACCGUACUGAAAACCGACACAGGUGGUCAGGUAGAGAAUACUCAGGCGCUUGAGAGAACUCGGGUGAAGGAACUAGGCAAAAUAGCACCGUAACUUCGGGAGAAGGUGCGCCGGCGUAGAUUGUAAGGGCUAGCCCCUGAAGGUUGAACCGGUCGAAGUGACCCGCUGGCUGCAACUGUUUAUUAAAAACACAGCACUCUGCAAACACGAAAGUGGACGUAUAGGGUGUGAUGCCUGCCCGGUGCUGGAAGGUUAAUUGAUGGUGUCAUCGAAAGAGAAGCACCUGAUCGAAGCCCCAGUAAACGGCGGCCGUAACUAUAACGGUCCUAAGGUAGCGAAAUUCCUUGUCGGGUAAGUUCCGACCUGCACGAAUGGCAUAAUGAUGGCCAGGCUGUCUCCACCCGAGACUCAGUGAAAUUGAAAUCGCCGUGAAGAUGCGGUGUACCCGCGGCUAGACGGAAAGACCCCGUGAACCUUUACUAUAGCUUGACACUGAACAUUGAAUUUUGAUGUGUAGGAUAGGUGGGAGACUUAGAAGUAGGAACGCCAGUUUCUAUGGAGUCAUCCUUGAAAUACCACCCUUUAACGUUUGAUGUUCUAACGAAGAUGACGAAACGUGGUCUCGGACAGUGUCUGGUGGGUAGUUUGACUGGGGCGGUCUCCUCCCAAAGCGUAACGGAGGAGCACGAAGGUUUGCUAAUCACGGUCGGACAUCGUGAGGUUAGUGCAAUGGUAUAAGCAAGCUUAACUGCGAGACAGACAAGUCGAGCAGGUACGAAAGUAGGUCAUAGUGAUCCGGUGGUUCUGAAUGGAAGGGCCAUCGCUCAACGGAUAAAAGGUACUCCGGGGAUAACAGGCUGAUACCGCCCAAGAGUUCAUAUCGACGGCGGUGUUUGGCACCUCGAUGUCGGCUCAUCACAUCCUGGGGCUGAAGUAGGUCCCAAGGGUAUGGCUGUUCGCCAUUUAAAGUGGUACGCGAGCUGGGUUUAGAACGUCGUGAGACAGUUCGGUCCCUAUCUGCCGUGGGCGUAGGAGAAUUGGUUGGGGCUGCUCCUAGUACGAGAGGACCGGAGUGGACGCACCACUGGUGUUCCGGUUGUGUCGCCAGACGCAUUGCCGGGUAGCUAAGUGCGGAAGAGAUAAGUGCUGAAAGCAUCUAAGCACGAAACUUGCCAAGAGAUGAGUUCUCCCAGAUUAUAAAUCUGUAAGGGUUGUUUAAGACGAAGACGUAGAUAGGUCUGGUGUGUAAGUGAUGUGAGUCAUUGAGCUAACAGAUACUAAUUGCCCGAGAGGCUUAACU
rnacentral:rRNA from 1 species